rnacentral:rRNA from 1 species
GGACUACUGGGGUAUCUAAUCCUGUUUGCUCCCCACGCUUUCGCGCCUCAGCGUCAGUAUUUGUCCAGGUAGCCGCCUUCGCCACUGGUGUUCCUUCCGAUCUCUACGCAUUUCACCGCUACACCGGAAAUUCCACUACCCUCUACAAUACUCUAGCUCGCCAGUAUGACAUGCAGUUCCUAGGUUAAGCCCAGGGAUUUCACAUAUCACUUAACAAACCGCCUACGCGCCCUUUACGCCCAGUAACUCCGAUUAACGCUCGCACCCUCUGUAUUACCGCGGCUGCUGGCAC